GGGCCCGCACAAGCAGUGGAGUAUGUGGUUUAAUUCGAAGCAACGCGAAGAACCUUACCAGGUCUUGACAUCGAGUGCAUAACCUAGAGAUAGGCGAAGCCCUUCGGGGCACUCAGACAGGUGGUGCAUGGUUGUCGUCAGCUCGUGUCGUGAGAUGUUGGGUUAAGUCCCGCAACGAGCGCAACCCUUACUGAUAGUUACUACGCGAAGAGGACUCUAUCGGGACUGCCGUUGACAAACGGAGGAAGGCGGGGAUGACGUCAAAUCAUCAUGCCCUUUAUGACCUGGGCUACACACGUACUACAAUGGCCGCUAACAACGGGGAUCGAAGAGGCGACUCGGAGGGAAUCCUGAAAAGCGGUCUCAGUUCGGAUCGCAGGCUGCAACCCGCCUGCGUGAAGUCGGGAAUUGCUAGUAAUCGCGGAUCAGCAUGCCG
rnacentral:rRNA from 1 species